rnacentral:rRNA from 1 species
UACGGAGGGGGCAAGCGUUGUUCGGAAUUACUGGGCGUAAAGGGCUCGUAGGUGGCCAACUAAGUCAGACGUGAAAUCCCUCGGCUUAACCGGGGAACUGCGUCUGAUACUGGAUGGCUUGAGGUUGGGAGAGGGAUGCGGAAUUCCAGGUGUAGCGGUGAAAUGCGUAGAUAUCUGGAGGAACACCGGUGGCGAAGGCGGCAUCCUGGACCAAUUCUGACACUGAGGAGCGAAAGCCAGGGGAGCAAACGGG